rnacentral:rRNA from 1 species
UACGUAGGGGGCAAGCGUUGUCCGGAUUUAUUGGGCGUAAAGAGCGUGUAGGCGGCCAUACAGGUCAGCUGUGAAACUCGAGGCUCAACCUCGAGACGUCGGUUGAAACCGUAUGGCUAGAGUCCGGAAGAGGAGAGUGGAAUUCCCGGUGUAGCGGUGAAAUGACGCAGAUAUCGGGAAGAACACCCGUGGCGAAGGCGGGUCUCUGGGCCGAUACUGACGCUGAGGAGCGAAGCGUGGGGAGCGAAACAGG